CGCAGCUAGUUUGUUUUUCUUGAGUGUCCGCCCCUUCAUGGUGCCGACUGUCAAAAAUGCCGAAACGUUGCGUGGCGGCUGGUUGUUCUAAUUACCCGAGUGAACACAUCUCACUGUUCUCAUUCCCAAAGGAUGAAGAGCUUCGGAACCAGUGGACGAAGCAGGUCCAGAGAACCAGAGGCAGCUGGGUUCCCACUGCGUCCUCUGUUCUCUGCAGCGAGCAUUUCCCUGCGCACUGCUUCGAGGAGGCGCCCGGAUUAAAGGAGGCUUUCGGUCUGAAAGUGCGUUACAGACGGGUUAUCAAACCGACGGCUGUCCCUUCCAUUUUCACAGCUGAAGACGGUACCAGCGGAACCAAACAGCACAGAGCAGCUCCAGUUCCCAGACACUCCAGGAAAAGAGUAAGUUACUGUCGAUCCGGUUGGGUUCGGGAGGUUCGAGUAUAAAAUCAGAUGUUUUCAAAGAGUAGCAGAACUUCAGCUUAUUUUUACUGAAAUGUGAGUGAAAACGAGUUAUAAAACAUUAUAUUUCAGUACUAUCUUUAAGGCUUAAAUAAAAUACAAACUUAAAAAUAUCAUUAAUAAAUUCAUGCAGAAGACCGCAAAGGGGGCGGGACUUCCGGCGGAAGUAAACAAUAAGCUUCAGCUUCUAGGCUGCAUAUCACCAAUUAAAAGACAGUUUGUAGUAACAAUAUCUUCGGUUUGGAAACCCAAAGGCAGCAGGUGUGCCUGCGCUCCAGAUCCACUUACCUGUCUAGUGGUGGCGGUGACUCAUUUAAAUUGGGGUUCCACCCGCCACUACAAUCAAAAGAAGAAGAAGACUACAGGUAAGUUAACUGUAAGGCGGAAAUACGGCCUGAACAAGAACUCGACAUUUCAGAUCGUGAUAGAGAUUGGCUGCAAAUGUUUUUUCCUGAUAUUCCUGAUAUAAAAAUGUCAUUAAUGUUGUUCUGUUGUUUUUUAUUCUAUCAGGUUUUACACAGCAGUAUGUCUGCUAAUCACGCUGCCAUAACUUCAAAGAGGAGAUCCUUUCUUGAUCAAAAGAUGCCAAAUGUUAAAAUAAAAGGGGAACAGGAGGAACUAGAACCGAAGAAGAUCACUGAGACUAAAGAGGAACAAGAACCAACCAAAGAACACGAUGAACUGUGGAUCUAUGAGGAUGAAGGUCAGAUGGAGACUUGUGAAAAUAUAUUCCACAAUGAACCAGAACAACGGCUGAUUGUAGCAAUGAAGAAAGAACCGGAUCCAAUGCAGAUCAAACAGGAACCAGAACAAAUGAAAGAGGAACCAGAACCUGUGGAGAUUAAAGUGGAACCAUCUCUGUACUACUGUACAGAUAGUAAUGGAACUAGAACCUUUAGUAGAGGAAUCAGAACCUGUAUUGAAGAAAUGGAAAGGUCUUUCCAGUAAUGCUCAAACCAAAAAAAGUUCCUCUCUGCACAAGGCAGCAAACCUAAGAAACAACAGCAGGAGAACAGGAACCAGGAAAUGGAGGCUCCGGAGCUGAACAUCAGCUCGCCCAUUAACAAGGUAGAGAUUUCAAAACCAAAAACUCGUAGAACAAACCGGCACACUUGUGAAAUAUGUGGUAAAUGUUACUGCUUGCCCAGCGAUUUGACCGACCACUUACCAACUCAUUCAGGUGAGAGGCCUUUUUGCUGUAAAUUGUACGGUAAACACUUUAAUGAAACGACUCAAUUGGCUCAUCACAUAAACAUUCACACAAGCGAGAAGCUUUGUAAACUGCAUGGUAAAUCGUUCCAGUUAUUUCUCUCCUCUCAGUGGUAAACAGUGAUUUCCUUCCUAUAGAUUUUAAAACUUUCCUCCAACUGUUUUCAUUGAGUGACCUGCCUUGUUUCCACUUCUUUCCCAUUGAUUAAUAAACCUGAUUUAAGUGUUGAGGCUUCACUUAAACCUUGUAUUCAACCAGAAGUAUAACUCAUGUUUAAAAUCAUCUAUAAACAUUUUAAAUCAACCAGAAUUAAACUGUUUACAGAACAAUUAAAUCUCUUAGCAAUCUUUGUCUAUUUCCAUGUUUCUCACCCAGUUACAAAGUUUUCAGUUUGAGAUCAUUGCCAUGAACGUGUUGAAUAAAAUUUUAUUCUAGUUACUCUAACGAUAAAAAGGGAUAUAUUUCUAAAAUUUGACCAAUCAAAACUUGAGUUUUUCCGCCCCUAUGUUAUUACACACCAGACUCACGCUUGUGUUCUGUUUGUUUCACCUCUUAGGUUGUUUGUUUUUGAUCUCAACUGAAUUAAGUUUUAUAGUGUAGAGGAAGCAUUUCAGAUGAUCCGUGAAGACUCGGGGACAGAAGUGUGUCCAGGAUUCCUCGUCUGAAGAUGAGGACCUCGUUUUUCCGGCUCACAAUGAUGACGAUUUGGAGUUUGAAGGGCGUCAACUUGAGAGUGAUGACAGAGGUGAUGAGCCACUGAGGAAAGUCUUGAGCUCUGCCUCAUAUGAGCCUGAGAGGAGGAAUACCAACAGAAGAGAAGAAGAAAAUCCAAAAAGGCUGCUGGUGACGGUGCGACAGCUUGGCAUGGCGAAGAUGAGGAGGAUCAUCAUCAACACCACUUCAAUUUUAACCCAACAAGAAAACCAGGCCCCACCUUAGACCAGGAAACAUCCUGGACCCCACACUCUCUCUUACGGCUCUUACAGAGAAAGACUUCUAUGUUUUCCUGGUGAUUAUUGUUUUCACAGGCCUUGUAACUGUGCACCACAGGUUAGACUACUGGAAGCAAGACUGGCCAUACAACUUCAGAUUCCCUUCCUGGAGCAUGUCACGGAGCAGGUUCGAGUCUAUUCUCUGGUCGCUGCACAUUAGCAACCCAGAGAACGAGAAGAAGAAAGGCACGCCAGACUAUGACUGUGUACUUAAAAUCAAACCCCUCCACAACCAGAUUAUCACAGCUUGUCAGGCUAAUUUCCAUCCAAAUAAAAACAUCUGCAUUGAUGAAAGGAUGAUCUCAUCCAAGGAUAGAAUUAAAAUGAAAAAGUUCAUAAAGGGCAAAUCCACAACUCGGGGGUACAAGUUGUACAUCCUGGCGGAUUCAGCAACAGGCAACACCUGGAACAUUUUGUUCAUACUGAGAAGAGCGAGUCCAGCGCGAGUCAGGGCCGAAUUACUGGUCUGUUGUGAACCUCUUGCCACUGUCCUUACAGGUUGAGGGCUACACUUUGUAUGUAGGCCGUUUUUGACCAGCCCUCUCUUUCAGCAUCUUUACACGAAGCACAUCGGCUGCUGUGGCAUAAUCAGCAAAGAUCUCGCUGGAUUUCCACGUACAGACAAGAAAGAUUUUACAAAACAGACGGAGAGGGGCGACAUGCGUCGGAUUCAGAAAGAGAACCUUCUGUUUCUGAAGUGGAUGGUCGCCCAAGAAGUGGCCAUGUGCUCCACGUGCACAAAGCCUUCUCUGGGAACACCGUGCCGCGCAGAAUGAAGCGGUCAGGUGUUUGUCCCUGACACCAUGGUGGAUUUCAGCAAGAACAUUGGGGGAGUGGACCAGUCGGAUUCAGUCAUGGGCUGGUAGUCUGUGCACAACAAAACGAUGAAGUGGUACUAGACUUUUUUCUAUCAAUUUGUUGAUAUCACCAUAGUGAACAGCUUCAUGAUACACAAGCAGCUACACAGCAGGCAGUCCGAUCCGGCCUACACGUUCAAACGGUUCCGGGAGCAGCUUGCAAAACAAAUGUUGCAGUUUUCUGACAACUUGUUGCCCUCAUCCACAUCACUGGCUGCACCCACGUUUACACCAACAGUAAUCUGCGUGCCAGGCUACACGGUGGCACCACAACCAAGUCAAGGAGGAUUUGCAGGUUGUCGCCCAAAAGGUGAAAACUUCAAUUCACCUGUAAAGGCCGGUAAAGUCGCGCUUUGUCUGAAUGCGAAAAGAAGCUGUUUUGAGCAGUGGCCCGACGAGUACAGCUGAGCGCAGUAAGGAUGUAAACAUUGGUUGGGGGACUUUAGACUCAUAAAUGUUUUGAUGUAAAAUGUUUUUGCACUGCAAUUAGGCUCCAGUUGGAGUCAAACAAAGCAGCUUAUUGAUAAAAACUAAAUUUGUAGUUUGCAAAAAAUAUUCAAAAACAUGUGAAAAUCUAAGUUAUUUUUUUUACAAAAAGUAGAGAAAUCCCCACUUUUCUAAACGAUGCUGAAAUGGCCAAACAUCUAAGUAUGUCUACGUAAAACGUUAACUUUGUUUUGCUUUACCUCGGCUCCUUUCGUUUUGCACAAGUUGCUUUAGGAUUUCCAACAGUUUGUAUUCCUGUUAAUUCUACUUUAAAAGGUUUAUGUGGCAUUUAAUGCUGAGAAACCCAUUGAAGGAGGAAAGUCCAUGUUCCUUAUCUUUUAUAAGAUAUAUUGAGUAUUAUAACAUGAUACCAAAAUUAUUUUAGAGUUUGUAAACUAUUUGCUCAUGAUGCAUCUUGUUGGUGUUUGAAGAGCAUUAAUAAAUCCAAACCGUUAUUCUGUU